GAUGAACGCUGGCGGCGUGCCUAAUACAUGCAAGUCGAGCGAAUGGAUUAAGAGCUUGCUCUUAUGAAGUUAGCGGCGGACGGGUGAGUAACACGUGGGUAACCUGCCCAUAAGACUGGGAUAACUCCGGGAAACCGGGGCUAAUACCGGAUAACAUUUUGAACCGCAUGGUUCGAAAUUGAAAGGCGGCUUCGGCUGUCACUUAUGGAUGGACCCGCGUCGCAGUAGCUAGUUGGUGAGGUAACGGCUCACCAAGGCAACGAUGCGUAGCCGACCUGGGAGGGGGAUCGGUCACAGUGGGACUGAGACACGGCCAAGGCUCCUACGGGAGGCAGCAGUAGGGAAUCUUCCGCAGUGGACGAAAGUCUGACGGAGCAAGGCCGCGUGAGUGAUGAAGGCGUUCGGGUCGGAAAGCGCUGUUGUUAGGGAAGAACAAGUGCAAGUUGAAUAAGCUGGCACCUUGACGGUACCUAACCAGAAAGCCACGGAUAACUACGUGCCAGCCGCCGCCGUAA
rnacentral:rRNA from 1 species